rnacentral:lncRNA from 1 species
CGAGGGAAGAGAAAGCGAAUUAGUAUGUUUUUGGAAUGGAUUUAGAACUAAGGAAAUAUCGAGCAUUGACAAUUGAAGCGCUUUUGGCCGUAGCCGUUCAGCCCUUGAGAGGUAUCAUUAUUUGGAAGGUGGGUUUUAGAAUAUAUGGUCUACUUGGUUACACAGCCUGAAUGUAGGCUGACUAUUGGGAAUUGUCCUUUUUCUGCCGAACAUUGUAGAUUUCAAGAAGCUACGAAAAGAAACAUGCUGUGGCAGACAAUGUUUGAACAUGUUUUUCCAGCGAAACUAAUUAGGCUGAUACGUGCAACGCUGGAUAGUUCGAAAUCACGUGUUCAGAUGUAGCAGACAAGUUGGCAGUAUGUUGAAGCAAGGAGGUGCACAUAUGAAUUUACUGUCUACAUUGGGUGCGAUUGAGAGUUAGUCUUGUAUUCUUUGGGUGUCAAUUAGAGUACUUGUAACUUAUACUUCAUAGCCCGAUAUUCCGAAUCUCAAUAUCAGACCAUCAAUCAAAUAACAAUCAUUUUAAAAGUUGGUUUUCAUGGGAAUUUUCUGAGGAAAUGCUGGGUUCCGGUUUGAAUUAUCAGAUUCCGGUAAAAAUACUGCAAAUCCUGGAAUUAAAAAAAAAGAACUUUGGGAUUUCGGUGGGAAUUCUUGGAAUCCGCUAGUAUUUUUUUUUGCGAUUUCGAUGGGAAUUCUGAGUUUUGAUGAAAGCUCUACAAUUUCAGUGAACUUCAUAUACUAAUGUUAUUUUUGCUAAUGAUUUCAGUGAAAAUUCCGGUGAUAAUUUUGGGUUUAUGGUGGGUAUUUUUAGAUUUAGACGAAAGUGCUGGAGAUCCGAAAAGUAUUCUGUGAUUCUGGAGGUAAUAUUAGGUUUUCUAUAAACAUUCUGAGUUCCCAAUAUCAAUUUUGGGAUUUUUAAGCGAGUUCUAUGAUUAUUAUUUUGAUUAUAUAGAAUAUUAUAUUCCUUGGACUGAGAUGAUUUUUUUUUUUGAUACCAGCAGAGAUUCUAGGAUUUAUUGUGGUCGUUCAUGGAAUCCGAAUGUAUCUAAAUAUCCAUGAGACAACCGGUAUUUCGUUAGUUAUUCAAAAAUAUCACUGUAAAUUGUGGUGGGAGUUUUGGUUACAUGAUGCUUUUUAAGAGCUCGAUGAAAAGGCUAGAAAUUCUACAUUUUGGGAUUUUGAGGGAAAUGUUCGGACUAUGAUUACAACCGGAAUUUCAGAUUUUCGAAAUCGAAAUCUCAGUAUACAUAGGUACCUAAAUUUAAGAAUAAUUACAGCAGGGAUUCGCUGGUUGGAACACGACUGCCUUCCAUCAAGCGAAUCCGAACCGCUAGUUGGAACGACUGACAGCUGAUGGAAAUACUCCAGACUAACGUAUCUGGAGAGCAAAUCGUCACCAAACGCACAUAUACAUACACAUUUGUUCUAUAUGUGAAGACUUCAAUGCGUCAAAAUCAGUUUGACAUCUUAUCUUGACAUUCAAGUGCUUUUUAGUCGGAAUUUUUUCCAACCACCAAACAUCCAACCAUCGAGUCAUUCCAUGUAGCGGACUCCCAACGAGCGAAUCCCCACUGUAUUAUAAAAUUAGAAUGUCUAUCUGAAUAUGAACCGAAUUCCCAAAACUGUAACCACAAUCUAAGGAUUCUCAUCGGAAUCUAAGAAAUCCUAUCGCAAACCUGCAAGUUUCUACCGGAAUACCAGGUUUACUUAUUGAAUUCCAUGAUUCCUAUGAAAAUAACAGGUUUCCCUCAGCAACCCAACCAUUUCUUCAGACACCAAUCGGAAUUCUCGCCGAAAUCUCACAAUACAUUCAGCUCUACUAUACGGCUCUACUGGGCAUAUACUGUAUCUAAACGAAAACAAUUAGUGAUAUUAGAUAUUUUCAUAAUGCUUUUGGAUGACCUAAAACUUUUGGUGAAUUCAAUACCUUACGAAAUUCAUUUCUACAUGUACACUGCUUUUACUACAUUUUCGUGAAUAUUGUUUUCUGUCCAAUUUAACUUUAUGAGUUUAUUGCUAUCAGAAAAAUAUAUAUUGAGAAGCUUUUGAGUAUGCUUGUAGAUCUUUAUUUCAGGAAGUUUGGAUGAAUCUAAACAAUCUAUUUUUAAAACACUUCCUACAACUCAUUUCUCUGUACCUCUUGGCAAAUGUACAAACUGCAUAGGCAUCCAAAACAUCAUUAUUUGUGCUCGAAAAAUCCUUAAACUAUAUUCUUGAAAAAUCCUUUAACUAUAUUGCUGUGAAGAUCAGGGUAGGUGUUACGUAUAUUCGAAGAUCUUACGAUAGAAAAGAUGCAUGGAAACGUCCUACAUAAAUGAAAUCCUCGAAAUCAACUUCUUAUAUUUUUGUCCAAAACUUGCGAUUUGUUUUUCUUAAAUCGUUUUUAUCAUACAGUCAACUCUCCCUUACUCGAUAUUCCAUAUCUCGAUAUCGAGUUAGAGAAUAUUAUACUUCUUUGGUGGGUUUUCAUGGCUAACUCGGUGGUCCUUUGGAACGCAGUUGCACUAAAAAACUAACUGCAGAGGUACAAGUUCAACCUUCUAAUGGUAGUUCAUCUAAAAUUUUAGCAAAUUUGUGGAACAGGAUUAGGCAUACCAGAUGAUAUCGUUUGGGAGGACAUGUCCUCCUUUUUGACCAUAUGUCCUGUCCUCAUUUGGACUGUCCUUUGAAUAUAUCCAAAUAUCCAAUGAAUAUUUCACAAAAUGUACUACACAAAUACACAAUUAUACUGCCCAUACUCCCAUAACAUUCCCAAAUUCUAUGGGAUUUCCUAUGUAAAUUGGAUUGUUAUGCGAGUAAGAUCAGUAUACUAGAUACCCAUUCCUCAUCCUUAUUAUUUUCGUUAAAAUGUCUUUAAGUUUCUGUUUUGAAUGAAUUUUGGAGAUCCAAGAAGUAAGAUUUCAGGUUGAAAGCAUACUCACAGUUUGUUAACUCUCCGAAUUCAAAAGCAAAAAAUUUUCAAAAUGAUUUCAGCUACUAAUAUAUAUAUUUUUUUUUGCAUAUUCUGUUUAACAUAUUUGGGUAUUGUUCGAGAGAAGUAUUUGAAUUACGACUCAAUUCGAUUACCCUAAACUGUAGCAUAGGAAAUACUACUUCUUGUAAUGUAAUAUGUAAGUUUGAAUGUACUUGCACCCGAGUUCUAUAACAAAAAAAUAACAUUACUUUGAAAGACAUUACUUCGGAGUAAUGCAUUCGAUGUUGAUUCAGGUUUUAAGAAAAAUCAAUAGUGCCGACUGCCAGCUAAUAUGGAAAAGGCUGAAAAUUGAUCAAACAUUUUCCAAAGUCAAUUGUAGCAAGGACGUGGUUAGCUUUCGAUUUCGGUUAAAUUAAAUGUCCUCCUCUUUUUUCAAAGCCCAAAACUUAAAAUGUCCUCCUUUUAAAAAUUUGUAUCUGAUAAGCCUAAACAGGAUGCAAUUAUUGUGUAAUCUGUGUAUUAGAGUAUGCGUAAUUAAUCAGUCGUGUUCAUUGUACCAUUUCAAAAAAUAGAACCCUUGAUCGUCAAAUCUUUUAAGAGAACUGAAUUAUAGUUAAAUCCCUUUAGCUUGACAACUCUUACAAUAGUAGCCGUAACUAUAACGUGAAGUUAAUCGAUGUUUUAUAUUCCACUAAACUAUGUUCGUAGUUCGUUGGUUACAUUGCUCAUUGCAUAUUUUGUAAAAUUUUGAAUAUAGCUGAUGUGAUUGAUUGUUUAAUUAUUUCAUCGUAUGUCAUAAAAAAGAAAUGAUUGAGGUGCGUUUAUCAAAAGAUAUUGUUCGACAAUAGAAGAUAAACGUUCCUCCAUCCAUUAUUUAAAAUUUAAUUCUUUUUGAAGAAUAAUUAACAACAAUGAAGUAACACAACACAAUGUUAACAAUAACUGUGUUAAAAACCAUCAGAAGUUUCAAAUUCUGUCAAAGAUUAACUUGUUUACAAAAAAUCCUUGAACAAAUAUGUUGAUACUACUAUGGAAUUGUUGUGGGGAUUAGGGAUCCUUUGUAUAAUGAUAUAAUGAUCUAAUUUAAAAAAUGGCUGUCUCUGUAUUUCUAGCCAAAAAAGUUGAAAAAAGUGACUUUUUGACGAAUAGAGAAAGGCUUUUGUAGAAAUGUCUCAAAAUAAGACUUUUUAAUGACUUGCUAAAAAAAACUGACCAAGUUAUUUAAAAGUGUAGCCCUGGUAUUGUUAGCUAUCAUCCUAUGUCAAUAGAGUUAUCUAACGAAAUCAACAAAUUCGUCUUUUUAUAUGCUUGUUUAAAAUUCCUAGUUUUUUUUCUGGAAUAUUUGUGAUAAUAAAUGAUGUGUCGUCUAAAAUAAUGUUGAAAUCAUUGCCGUAAUCUCGUUUCACUUUUUGAAAAAUUAUCGUAAAAUCGAACUCUUAAGCUGAUACUGAGAAGUACUGAAACAAACAGUAAAAAUUUACUAAAAGUGGUCAAUGUUAUUUAUCUACCUAAAAGAUCAUAGCACGCUAAUGACUUGUAACCAUAUCGAAACUAAGCACAGUGGAGCUGAUCUUUGAAUGCAAAAAACAGGCAUGCGAGGUGUUGUAUCAUUUCAAAAUGCAAACGACCUCACCAUUUUCCAGCAAUUUAACAAACAGACGAACGACGAUGAGCAGGCCAUGCGAAUUGCUGAUGUGUGACAUACUUUUCUGACCUCUUGCAGAACAGUAAAAAAAUGAUAUUGUUUACUCCACGCCAUACACGUUUUUGCUUCGAUGCCGGUUCCGAUUUGUUGGUAUAAUUAUCAUUAGUGUAAAUCGAUUGGACUCGGGCUUCUUGCAUGCGGUGCGCUGCACUUCCAUAUUAACCCAACACAUGUCGAAUCAUUUGAACUUUCUAGAGUCUGUAUGGG